UACGAAGGGUGCAAGCGUUAAUCGGAAUUACUGGGCGUAAAGGGUGCGUAGGCGGUUGUUUAAGUCUGUCGUGAAAUCCCCGGGCUCAACCUGGGAAUGGCGAUGGAUACUGGACAGCUAGAGUGUGUCAGAGGAUGGUGGAAUUCCUGGUGUAGCGGUGAAAUGCGUAGAGAUCGGGAGGAACAUCAGUGGCGAAGGCGGCCAUCUGGGACAACACUGACGCUGAAGCACGAAAGCGUGGGGAGCAAACAGG
rnacentral:rRNA from 1 species